GCGCGAGUAGCUCAACGGAUAGAGCAUCUGACUACGGAUCAGAAGGUUGGGGGUUCGAAUCCCUUCUCGCGCAC
rnacentral:tRNA from 1 species